GAGGCGCAGAGCCAACGGCUACUUCGACAAGACGACUGAGCCACUGAGGGUGAGUCGCCGCGACGCCGUCCCAAUCCCAUCGCCCAUCGUCCCUUUCUUUAAAAUCCUCAUCGUCCUCCACUCCUCCUCUAUCCUCAUCGUUCCUGAGCUCCUCUUCUGCAGCUCUGCUUCAGUCUUCACCGACCACUCACCGGCGCGGUCGUCUCCUCCACCUCCCCGGCAUCCCCCGGCUGCAGCACCGCCUGUGCCCACCUUCAUCUCCCGCGACCUCCUCGCCUCCCUCCCGUCCCCUGACUCCCGUCUUCUUCACGUCAGCCCGCUGCACUUGUGAGUCUCUCUUUCAGUCUCUCUAGAUGGACAAGAAAGAUGUUUGAGGAAAUGCCUAUGAAAAUUUGUGAUGCGUAUAGCACCUAAAUCAGUGAAAGAGCCAAGUUCAACAUCUGUAGUGCCUCUUCUAUUGAGUAGUUCGAACCAAGACUAAAGACUUGGAUCAACAAGUUCAAGCAGACAUCCCUGCUCUUGUAAAACACAGGCCUGCAGUGCAUUUAGAGGAAAAGGAGAAAGCAAAAUACCAAAAUAAUUCCUUUUAUCUUCCAUUCUCAAAUCCACUCAAUAGUCUCAGACUCUCAGAUGGGCUUGCAAACUUGAGAUCUUCCAUGAGGGGACUCAGGGGAGUAGUUAGGAUCACAAAAUUUCUUCCUGAUUUUAUGUUUAAAGGUGUUGGAUUUGAGUGCUUGUAAUCCUGGGAAGAGGACCAAGAGGUUUGCCUCUUCCGUCUGUAUACUACCACUGUAUACUACCCAGUCUGCCAUCCAUGAGCACAAAUUAUGCAUUAAUUUUUAACCUACUUUCCAAUCAUUAGAACUCUCUCUCUCUCUCUCUC
rnacentral:lncRNA from 1 species